rnacentral:rRNA from 1 species
AACGAACGCUGGCGGCAUGCCUAACACAUGCAAGUCGAACGAGCCCUUCGGGUCUAGUGGCCCACGGGUUCGUAACGCGUGGGAACCUGCCCUUAGGUUCGGACUAACUCCCCGAAAGGGGUGCUAAUACCGGAUAAUGUCUUCGGACCGAAGAUUUUUCGCCCUUGGAUGUGCCCGCGUUGGAUAAGCUCGUUGGUAGGGUAAAAGCCUACCACGGCGACCAUGCACACCUGGUAUGAGAGGAAGGUCACCGACACUGGGACUCAGACACGGCCCGGACUCCUACGCGAGGCGGGAGUGGGGAAUAUUGGACAGUCGGGGAAAGCAUGAUGCAGCAAGGAUGCGAGAGUGAUGAAGGCCGUAGAGAUGUAAAGCUCUUUUACCCGGGAAGAUAAUAACAGUACCGGGAGAAUAAGCUCCGGCUAACUCCGUG